GACGAACGCUGGCGGCGUGCUUAACACAUGCAAGUCGGACGGUAAGGCCCUUCGGGGUACACGAGUGGCGAACGGGUGAGUAACACGUGGGUGAUCUGCCCUGCACUUCGGGAUAAGCCUGGGAAACUGGGUCUAAUACCGGAUAGGACCCUGGGAUGCAUGUCCUGGGGUGGAAAGCUUUUGCGGUGUGGGAUGGGCCCGCGGCCUAUCAGCUUGUUGGUGGGGUGAUGGCCUACCAAGGCGACGACGGGUAGCCGGCCUGAGAGGGUGACCGGCCACACUGGGACUGAGAUACGGCCCAGACUCCUACGGGAGGCAGCAGUGGGGAAUAUUGCACAAUGGGCGCAAGCCUGAUGCAGCGACGCCGCGUGAGGGAUGACGGCCUUCGGGUUGUAAACCUCUUUCAGCACCGACGAAGCGCAAGUGACGGUAGGUGCAGAAGAAGGACCGGCCAACUACGUGCCAGCCGCGCAGUAACAC
rnacentral:rRNA from 1 species